ACAGAGGUCCCAAGCGUUGUUCGGAUUCACUGGGCGUAAAGGGUGCGUAGGCGGCUUGGUAAGUCUGACGUGAAAUCUCCGGGCCUAACCCGGAAACUGCGUUGGAUACUACCUAGCUAGAGGAAUGGAGGGGAGACUGGAAUACUUGGUGUAGCAGUGAAAUGCGUAGAUAUCAAGUGGAACACCAGUGGCGAAGGCGAGUCUCUGGACAUUUCCUGACGCUGAGGCACGAAAGCCAGGGGAGCAAACGG
rnacentral:rRNA from 1 species